UUAGAGUUUGAUCCUGGCUCAGAUUGAACGCUGGCGGCAGGCCUAACACAUGCAAGUCGAACGCGAAAGCACUUCGGUGUGAGUAGAGUGGCGGACGGGUGAGUAACGCGUGGGAAUCUACCUAGUAGUGGAGGAUAACUCGGGGAAACUCGAGCUAAUACUGCAUACGCCCUACGGGGGAAAGCGGGGGAUCUUCGGACCUCGUGCUAUUGGAUGAGCCCGCGUUAGAUUAGCUUGUUGGUGAGGUAAUGGCUCACCAAGGCGACGAUCUAUAGCUGGUCUGAGAGGAUGAUCAGCCACAUUGGGACUGAGACACGGCCCAAACUCCUACGGGAGGCAGCAGUGGGGAAUAUUGCGCAAUGGGCGAAAGCCUGACGCAGCCAUGCCGCGUGUGUGAAGAAGGCCUUCGGGUUGUAAAGCACUUUCAAUAGGGAGGAAAGGUUGUAACUUAAUACGUUGCAACUGUGACGUUACCUAUAGAAGAAGGACCGGCUAACUCCGUGCCAGCAGCCGCGGUAA
rnacentral:rRNA from 1 species